rnacentral:lncRNA from 1 species
UUUUGGAAGCAAAUUGAUUUUUAUUACAGGCUGCAGGGAAAAUGUAACCUCUAGCCUCCAACAGAGGGAUGCCAAAGAGGGGGGCCUGGCAUGGAAUCCUGUCCAUACUGUUUUGGAAGAAAGAUCAUUUGCAGUGAAAAGCCCGUCGAUGUUGGCAAAGAGAAAACAGCGGGACUGGGCUCCAGACCAACUCUGCUCCGGCCCUUUGCUGCCACGCUCUCCCUCUAGCCCCCCUUGUGAACGUGGGGCACCACGCAUGGCAGUGCCAGGCCAGCAGGGCAGGGUCCCAGGUGCACAGCUCCUGGCAGGGCUCGCAGCCUCCUGAGCACUCGCAGUCUCACCCCUGCCAAGGCAGUGCUUAUAGCCCAUCGCCUGGGUUCAGUCCCAGCUCUGCCACUCACCCCAGCUGGGUGGCCUCAGAAGCAACUUGGCCUCUGCCUGCCCAUUUCCUGCUCUAGAGCCUGGGAACAGUAGUGCCUGCCAACCGAGAAGAGUGAACGGGGUCCUGGCGCGUGAUGCCCCGUCCUGGGCACUGAGAAGAGUGAACGGGGUCCUGGCGCGUGAUGCCCCAUCCUGGGCACUGAGAAGAGUGAACGGGGUCCUGGAGCGUGAUGCCCCGUCCUGGGCACUGAGAAGAGUGAACGGGGUCCUGGCGCGUGAUGCCCCGUCCUGGGCACUGAGAAGAGUGAACGGGGUCCUGGCGCGUGAUGCCCCGUCCUGGGCACUGAGAAGAGUGAACGGGGUCCUGGCGCGUGAUGCCCCGUCCUGGGCACUGAGAAGAGUGAACGGGGUCCUGGCGCGUGAUGCCCCGUCCUGGGCACCGAGAAGAGUGAACGGGGUCCUGGCGCGUGAUGCCCCAUCCUGGGCAAUGAGAAGAGUGAACGGGGUCUUGGCGUGUGAUGCCCCAUCCUGGGCACUGAGAAGAGUGAAUGGGGUCCUGGCGCGUGAUGCCCCGUGCUGGGCACUGAGUGAAUGGGGGGCCUGGUACAUGGUAUCCAGUCCUGAGCACUGGCCAUGGUGGUCUCAUGGUCACGCGCUGCAUGGGCGAA